ensembl:lncRNA
CCCCACGAUGAUCCCAAUGGUGACAUGUCUCCCAUUGAUCCCAUGACCCCACGAUGAUCCCAAUGGUGACGUGUCUCCCAUUGAUCCCAUGACCCCCCCAGCAAUCCAACCCAUCCUACAGAUGGUCCCAUUUAUCCCAGUGAUACCAGCAAUCCCACUGAUCCCACCGAUGAUGCCACCAGUGACCCAUUGGUCCCGUGACCCCACUGAUGAUCCCAUCCAUCCCGCACGUCCCAGCAGUCCCACCAAUGAUCCCAUCCAUCCCAGUGAUCCCUCUGAUACCAACUAUGAUCCCAUUUGUGAUCCCAUCCAUGUCACCAUCGAUCACAUGACGUCAGUGUUGAUCCCACCCAUCCCACCAAUCCCAGACAUCUCAGUGAUCCCAUCCAUCCCAGCGAUCCCACCGAUCCCAGUGAUCCCACCAAUCCCAGUGAUGAUCCCAUCCAUCCCAGUAUGAUCCCAUCCAUCCCACCAAUCCCAGUGAUGAUCCCAUCCAUCCCUCCAAUCCCACCAAUCCCAGUGAUUAUCCCAUCCAUCCCAGUAUGAUCCCAUCCAUCCCACCAAUCCCAGUGAUUAUCCCAUCCAUCCCAUGAUGAUCCCAUCCAUCCCAGUAUGAUCCCAUCCAUCCCAGUAUGAUCCCAUCCGUCCCACCAAUCCCAGUGAUGAUCCCAUCCAUCCCAGUGAUGAUCCCAUCCAUCCCAUCCAUCCCACCAAUCCCAGUGAUGAUCCCAUCCGUCCCACCAACCCCAACAAUCCCAGUGAUGAUCCCAUCCAUCCCAGCGACCCCACUGAUCUCACUGAUGCCACCCAUGAUCCCACCAGUGACCCCACCCAUGUCACCCAUUGAUCCCAUAACCCCACCGACGAUCCCAUCCAUCCCAUUGAUCCCACCAUUGAUCCCAACCAUCCCAUUGAUCCCAUCCAUGGUCCCACCCAUGUCACCCAUUGAUCCCAUAACCCACCGACGAUCCCAUCCAUCCAUGCGAUCCCAGCAAUGCCAUUGGUCCCCCCGAUCCCACUGAUGCCAGCAGCGAUCCGACCCAUCCCAUCCAUCCCUCAGUGAUCCCACCCAUCCCAACGAUCCCCCUGAUGCCACCCAUGAUCCCACUGGUGAUGUCACCAUCGAUCCCAUGACGCCGCUGCUGAUCCCAUCCAUCCCAGCUAUCCCAGUCUCAGUGUUCCCAUACAUCCCGCUGAUGAUCCCACUGAUCCCAUCCACUACGCCGAUCCCACCAAUGAUCCCACCCAUUCCAGUAAUCCCACUGAUCUCAUGACCCCAACAAUGAUCCCAUCCAUCCCAAAGAUCCCACUGACCCCAUGGAUCCCAGUGAUUAUCCCAUCCACACCAGCGAUCCCACUGAUCCCAUGACCUCACUGAUGGUCCCAUCCAUCCCAGCGAUGCUAUUGAUCCCACUGAUGCCACUGAUGAUCCCAUCCAUGACCCCACCCAUGUCACCCAUCGACCCCAUGACCCCAACAAUGAUCCCAUCCAUCCCAACAAUGAUCCCAUCCAUCCCAGAAAUCCCACUGAUCCCACUGAUGCCACCAGUGACCUCACCCAUGUCAACCAUUGAUCCCAUGACCCCACUGAUGAUUCCACCCAUCCCACUGAUGCUCCCAUCCAUUCCAGUGAUCCUAUUGAUCCCACUGAUGUCACCGAUGAUCCCAUUGGUGACCCCACCCAUGUCACCCAUCGAUCCCAUGACCCCACCAAUCAUCCCAUCCAUCCCAUAGAUCCCACCAUUGAUCCCACUCAUGUCACCCAUCGAUCCCAUGACCCCACCAAUGAUCCCACCCAUCCCAGCAAUCCCACUGAUCUCAUGACCCCACUGAUGAUCCCAUCCAUCCCAAAGAUCCCAUUGACCCCAUGGAUCCCAGUGAUUAUCCCAUCCACACCAGCGAUCACACUGAUCCCAUGACCUCACUGAUGAUCCCAUCCAUCCCACUGAUCCCACUGAUCCCAUGAACGCCACUGAUGAUCCCAUGACCCCACUGAUGAUCCCAUCCAUCCCACUGAUCCCACUGACCCUAUGGAUGCUGCUGAUGAUUCCAUCCCUGAUCCCACCCAUGUCACCCAUCAACCCCAUGACCCCACCGAUGAUCCCAUCCAUCCCACUGAUCCCACUGAUCCUAUGGAUGCCGCUGAUGAUCCCAUCCAUCCUAGCGAUCCCACUGAUCCCACUGAUGCCACUAGUGACCUCACCCAUGUCGACCAUCCAUCCCAUGACCCCACUGAUGAUCCCAUCCAUCCCACUGAUGUUCCCAUCCAUUCCAGUGAUCCUAUUGAUCCCUCUGAUGUCACCGAUGAUCCCAUUGGUGACCCCACCCAUGUCACCUAUCGAUCAAAUGACCCCACCAAUGAUCCCAUCCAUCCCACUGAUCCCAUCCAUGAUCCCACCCAUGUCACCCAUCGACCCCAUGACCCCACUGAUGAUCCCACCUAUCCCAACGAUCCCACCGAUCCCAUGGAUCCCUGUGAUGCUCCCAUCCACACCAGCAAUCACACUGAUCCCAUGACCUCACUGAUCAUCCCAUCCAUCCCUGCAAUCCCACUGAUCCCAUGACCCCACUGAUGAUCCCACCCAUCCCACCAAUGAUCCCAUCCAUCCCAGUGAUCCCAGUGAUCCCACUGAUGCCACCAGUGACCCCACCCAUGUCAUCCAUCCAUCCCAUGAUCCCACUGAUGAUCCCACCCAUCCCACUGAUGCUCCCAUCCAUUCCAGUGAUCCUAUUGAUCCCACUGAUGUCACCGAUGAUCCCAUUGGUGACCCCACCCAUGUCACCUAUCGAUCAAAUGACCCCACCAAUCAUCCCAUCCAUCCCAUUGAUCCCACCAUUGAUCCCACCCAUGUCACCCACCGAUUCCAUGACCCCACUGAUGAUCCCACCCAUCCCAACGAUCCCACUGAUCCCAUGGAUCCCAGUGAUGAUCCCAUCCACACCAGCGAUCCCACUGAUCCCAUGACCUCACUGAUCAUCCCACCCAUCCCAGCAAUCCCACUGAUCUCAUGACCCCACUGAUGAUCCCAUCCAUCCCAAAGAUCCCACUGACCCCAUGGAUCCCAGUGAUUAUCCCAUCCACACCAGUGAUCACACUGAUCCCAUGACCUCACUGAUCAUCCCAUCCAUCCCUGCAAUCCCACUGAUCUCAUGACCCCACUGAUGAUCCCACCCAUCCCAACAAUGAUCCCAUCCAUCCCAGAAAUCCCACUGAUCCCACUGAUGCCACCAGUGACCUCACCCAUGUCAACCAUUCAUUCAUCCCAUGACCCCACUGAUGUUCCCAUCCAUCCCACUGAUCCCACUGAUCCCAUGGAUGCCGCUGAUGAUCCCAUCCCUGAUCCCACCCAUAUCACCCAUUGAGCCCAUGACCCCAAUGAUCCCAUCCAUCCCAUUGAUCCCACCAUUGAUCCCACCCAUGUCACCCAUCGAUCCCAUGACCCCAACAAUGAUCCCAUCCAUCCCAACGAUCCCACUGAUCCCAUGGAUCCCAGUGAUGCUCCCAUCCACACCAGCGAUCACACUGAUCCCAUGACCUCACUGAUGGUCCCAUCCAUCCCUGCAAUCCCACUGAUCCCAUGGCCCCACUGAUGAUCCCACCCAUCCCAACUGAUGAUCCCAUCCAUCCCACCAAUGAUCCCAUCCAUCCCAGCGAUCCCACUGAUCCCACUGAUGCCACCAGUGACCUCACCCAUGUCAACCAUUGAUCCCAUGACCCCACUGAUGAUCCCACCCUUCCCAACGAUGCGACUGAUCCCAUGGAUCCCAGUGAUGAUCCCAUCCAUCCCAGAAAUCCCACUGAUCCCAUGACCCCACUGAUGAUCCCAUCCAUCCCACUGAUCCCACUGAUCCCAUGGAUGCCUCUGAUGAUCCCAUCCAUCCCAGCAAUACCUCUGGUCCCAUGGAUGCUGCUGAUGAUCCCAUCCAUCCCACUGAUCCCACUGAUCCCAUGGAUGCCGCUGACGAUCCCAUCCAUGGUCCCACCCAUGUCACCCAUCGAUCCCAUGACCCCACCAAUGAUCCCAUCCAUCCUAUUGAUCCCACCAAUCCCACCUACGAUCCCCCCAUCCCAUCAUCCCACCCAUCCCACCAAUUAUCCCAUCAAUCCCAGCGAUCCCACUCAUGCCAUGGACGAUCCACCCAUGUCACCCAUUGGUCCCAUGACCCCACUGGUGAUCCCACCCAUUCCACCAUCCCAUAAGCCCACCGAUGACCCCAUCCAUCCCAGCCGUAAUCCCAUCCAUCCCAUCAUCCCACCCAUCCCAUCCAUCCCACUGAUUCCACCCAUCCCACCAAUGAUCCCUCCCAUCCCAUCCAUCCCACCCCUCCCACCAUUCCCAAUGCGAACCCCACUCAUCCCACCCAUCCCAAAGGUGUCCCCACCCACCCCAUCCAUCCCACCGAUCCCAAUGGUGACCCC